GGAGAACUCCAAAAACUUGAAGCCUCAACCAAACAAAAACCUCUUUAAACCCAUCCUGCAAGAAUCCAAUUUUCUCUCCCUAAUUUUCACUUUCUUACCCACUCCUUUCUUUGUGAUUUCCGCCCCUCUGUCUUCUGUCUUCUCCUCUUUUCUUUUUAUAUAUAAUGGCAAUGCACACCUUUUUGUUCCUCUCCAUCUCCUCCAACUCUCAGCCAUGAAGAAUUCCGCCGCCGCCGCCGCUACAACAACCGCCACUACUGUUCCUACCCUUUACAAGCGCAAGAACAUCAAGCUUCCCCCGGUUGACAUGGUCAAUAAGACUGGUAAUAGUAAUGGUGUGCUCCAUUGUGUUUCGGGGUUUGACCCUUCUUUCUUGAAAUGGACGGUGCAUGAUGUGGUCAAUGUAGCUAAGCGUCAUUGGUUACCGUGCUUCUUUGCUCUUGGGUUGCUAUUUUUUAUGGGCGUGGAAUACACGCUCCGCAUGGUUCCGGCUUCAUCGCCGCCGUUUGACUUGGGAUUUGUUGCCACGCACCGCCUCCACCAGUUGCUUUCCUCCUCGCCUGCGCUCAACACUCUGUUGGCUGCUCUUAAUACGGUGUUUGUUGGUAUGCAAACAGCAUACAUAAUGUGGACAUGGCUAAUAGAGGGCAGGCCAAGAGCUACAAUCUCUGCUCUAUUCAUGUUCACUUGCCGAGGGAUUCUUGGUUUCUCCACUCAGCUUCCAGUACCUGAGGGAUUUCUAGGCUCAGGAGUGGACUUUCCAGUAGGGAAUGUGUCUUUCUUCCUGUUUUUCUCAGGCCAUGUUGCUGGUUCUGUGAUCGCAUCGCUGGAUAUGAGAAGAAUGGAGAGGUGGGAAUUGGCAUGGACAUUUGAUGUGCUUAAUGUUCUACAAGCUGUGAGGCUGCUUGGCACUAGGGGCCAUUAUACCAUUGAUUUAGCUGCUGGCGUGGGUGCUGGCUUUCUAUUUGAUUCACUAGCUGGGAAAUAUGAAGAAAGGAAGAGAAAGGAGGCUAUUACUACUGCUAAAGAAGCUUUUAUUUAGUCAAAAGAAGAAAAAAAAAGGCCAAACUGUAAUCGUAGCCUGUAACCGUACUAUUGAAAUGUCAAAAGACUUAGUAUAAUGAAAAGAAGGCCUUAAAUGGU
rnacentral:misc_RNA from 1 species